rnacentral:rRNA from 1 species
AUUGAACGCUGGCGGAAUGCUUUACACAUGCAAGUCGAGCGGCAGCACGGGGGCAACCCUGGUGGCGAGCGGCGAACGGGUGAGUAAUACAUCGGAACAUGCCCAGUCGUGGGGGAUAACACUUCGAAAGAAGUGCUAAUACCGCAUACGUCCUGAGGGAGAAAGCGGGGGAUCUUCGGACCUCGCGCGAUUGGAGUGGCCGAUGUCAGAUUAGCUAGUUGGUGGGGUAAAGGCCUACCAAGGCAACGAUCUGUAGCUGGUCUGAGAGGAUGAUCAGCGACACUGGGACUGAGACACGGCCCAGACUCCUACGGGAGGCAGCAGUGGGGAAUUUUGGACAAUGGAGGCAACCCUGAUCCAGCCAUUCCGCGUGAGUGAAGAAGGCCUUCGGGUUGUAAAGCUCUUUCGGCAGGAACGAAACGGCGAGCUCUAACAUAGCUUGCUAAUGACGGUACCUGAAGAAGAAGCACCGGCUAACUACGUGCCAGCCGCCGCCGUAACUC